AUCAGUUCCAUUCGCAACUUUAAACAAGUCCGAAAAACCGUCAAGCAAAAUGAAAUUCUUUAACUCUGUUGUGGUAGCUUCAUGCAUUGUUUUGGGUACCCAAGGUGCUCCUGCUCCUACACCUGAUCUAGGAAAUCUGCUUGGUGGACUUCUUGGCGGUAAUGGUGGUGAUCCUCUUAGCGGUGUUCUUAAUACCGUAACCGGACUUGCUGGUCCUCUGGUCGGAACAGCUUUGGGUGCUGCAGCUCCUGUUCUUAAUACCGUUACCGGUGUCGCUGGUCCUCUGGUGGGAACUGCUUUGAGCGCUGCCGCCCCCGUCCUUGAUACUGUUGGCGGAGUCGUCAAUACUGUAACAGCCCUUUAAACUAAAUUCAUUAUGCCAUGUUUUUCUUGGAAUUCCUGUAGGAAAACUUUGUAAAUAAAUUAAAUUUAUCGUUUUCUGUUUUUAAAUUCGAAAAUAUAAAAACUAAAGAAUA
rnacentral:sRNA from 1 species